GCUGCAAAAAGAAACGGGCUUCCGACCCAGUCUGUGAUGGUGCCAUAACGGUGCUCGCCGACUUGUAGGUGCUACCGACAGACAGCACAACGUGAAGUAUGAGAGCAUGAAGGUAGAAAGAAGAGGAGGGCGACAUACCGGCUCAAGCCAGCCAAACAAAAAAUCCCAUGCGAAGCCAGAAGUAGAGGUUGUGGUCGACGGGAACGCCCCCAAGCAAGCCCCCAACGCUGUCCUUUCCGUUCAGUAGCGUAUUUUGGUUUUGUUUGUUUUUGGUCAUCUUUGGGGGGCGUGUCCCUCCAAAACGGAAGUCUCCCCCAACUUCACCUCUGGGGGUGCCAUGUCGCCUCCAGAAGCUUCCUACCUCCAUCUCUCCAUCCAAGAAAUGAGGGGAUCUGGGGGAUUGACGUCAUCAACACGUUUUUCUAAGUGGCCAUUGCUCUUAAUCCAGGUGUCCAGUUUCUUUUCAAAUUCUUCUUGCUUACUUUGAAUACUGGAAAGUUGUGUCAUAACCCUGUUCAUGCUAGCAGUUAGGCUCAUAAGCAUGGACUCCAUAUUUGUUAUCUGUUCAGCCUUCAUAGGGGGGCCUGGAUUCAAUUCGACAUCACCCGCCAGUAAUAACAACAAUACUAAAAAUACCAAUUUUCUCCAAAACCUACGGUGCACAUAAAAGCAAUGAUGCUUAUAACGUGCUCCAGUUUGUGCACUGUGUUGGUCAUAUAGACCUCCCUUGCAUGUCUUCCUUUACGAAUCUGUCGUAUGCAUUUCAAAAAGCAUCCACUCAGUACUAAGAAGGAAUACCAGAGGCCAUGCAGUUUUAUUGACAAGGAGAGUUGCCAGAAGACUCAAUGGCAGUGACUCCCGGCUCACAUGACUGAGUGAGAGCCGAGAGGUUUCUCAAUGAUCGCACCUAAUCUUCGCAACACUGUUUUUACUCAUUUGGGCAUUUACACUGGUUCUCUAAUUAUGUUGUGUGCUUAGAUUUUGUGUUCAAUGUUAGGGGCAUCCAAGUUGUUCUACCUGAAAAGUGGCACGGUUCAUCUCCAAGGUAAUACGUUGUACUGCUAGCACCACAGAGAAGGAGCGAACAAAGACUUGACAGCUUAAUCACCUAUAACAACAUAUGUAUGUUGCCUAAACAGAACUGAGACAAGUAAAAUGUCUACUUUCCUCACAGUCAAGUAUUAGGCAAUCAUGGCCUACAAAGCUAUGACAAGAAGCCCUGGCCAAAACUGGCCACCCACCAGGUAUAGUCCAAAAAACUUCUGUCAUAUGGCAUUCUUGUCAAAAUUUGUAGCUCUAAGUCUAUGAGAGGCUAUUCUAGCCUUUGUAACUUAGCAGGCCACCUGGACAUCUGAAUUUUUUUGCAACAAGCGAGUGUGCAAAUUUACAUUUAUGAAUAUUUUUUUGUUGUAAGAUGUGAUGUUGUAUGGAAUAUUCAGCAAUUAUCCAUUGCUGGGUACACAAUGAAUGUUAGAAAAAUAAUGAAUUGGGUGUUGGAAGUAUCACACAUAAUGACCUUGUAUGAUUUGAUUGAAUAAAAUGUACAGUUGGUUUUA